ACCCCGCAGGCUGGCGGGCCCCCAGGCUGGGCUUCGAGUAUCUCUUCGAAAGGCUCACCCUCAAGCACGACUGGGAGC
rnacentral:pre_miRNA from 1 species